AGUGAACGCUGGCGGUAGGCCUAACACAUGCAAGUCGAACGGCAGCACAGUAAGAGCUUGCUCUUACGGGUGGUGAGUGGCGGACGGGUGAGGAAUACAUCGGAAUCUACUUUUUCGUGGGGGAUAACGUAGGGAAACUUACGCUAAUACCGCAUACGACCUACGGGUGAAAGCAGGGGAUCUUCGGACCUUGCGCGAUUGAAUGAGCCGAUGUCGGAUUAGCUAGUUGGCGGGGUAAAGGCCCACCAAGGCGACGAUCCGUAGCUGGUCUGAGAGGAUGAUCAGCCACACUGGAACUGAGACACGGUCCAGACUCCUACGGGAGGCAGCAGUGGGGAAUAUUGGACAAUGGGCGCAAGCCUGAUCCAGCCAUACCGCGUGGGUGAAGAAGGCCUUCGGGUUGUAAAGCCCUUUUGUUGGGAAAGAAAAGCAGCAGGUUAAUACCCCGCUGUUCUGACGGUACCCAAGGAAUAAGCACCGGCUAACUUCGUG
rnacentral:rRNA from 1 species